AAUAGAUACCCCGGUAGUCCAUGCCGUAAACGUUGGGAACUAGAUGUGGGGACCAUUCCACGGUCUCCGUGUCGCAGCUAACGCAUUAAGUUCCCCGCCUGGGGAGUACGGCCGCAAGGCUAAAACUCAAAGGAAUUGACGGGGGCCCGCACAAGCGGCGGAGCAUGCGGAUUAAUUCGAUGCAACGCGAAGAACCUUACCAAGGCUUGACAUAGCCGAGAACGCUGCAGAAAUGUAGAACUCUUUGGACACUCGGUUACAGGUGGUGCAUGGUUGUCGUCAGCUCGUGUCGUGAGAUGUUGGGUUAAGUCCCGCAACGAGCGCAACCCUCGUCGUAUGUUGCCAGCACGUAAUGGUGGGAACUCAUAUGAGACUGCCGGGGUCAACUCGGAGGAAGGUGGGGAUGAGGUCAAAUCAUCAUGCCCCUUAUGUCUUGGGCUUCACGCAUGCUACAAUGGCCGGUACAAAGGGCUGCAAUACCGCGAGGUGGAGCGAAUCCCAAAAAGCCGGUCUCAGUUCGGA
rnacentral:rRNA from 1 species